CCCUUAGAUGUCCUGGGCUGCACGCGCGCUACACUGAUGUGUCCAGUAAGCACCUAACCUCUUCCGAAAGGAACGGGUAACCUUUGCAAAGCACAUCGUGAUGGGGAUAGAUUAUUGCAAUUAUUAGUCUUGAACGAGGAAUUCCUAGUAAGCACAAGUCAUCAGCUUGUGUUGAUUACGUCCCUGCCCUUUGUACACACCGCCCGUCGCUCCUAUCGAUUGAAUGUUCCGGUGAGCUCUUCGGACUGCGCGGUCUGCAGUUUCUGCGUUCCGUGCGGAAAGUUGCGCAAACCUUAACAUUUAGAGGAAGGAGAAGUCGUAACA
rnacentral:rRNA from 1 species